UAGAGUUUGAUCCAUGGCUCAGGAUGAACGCUGGCGGCGUGCUUAACACAUGCAAGUCGAACGGUGAAGCCAAGCUUGCUUGGUGGAUCAGUGGCGAACGGGUGAGUAACACGUGAGCAACCUGCCCUGGACUCUGGGAUAAGCGCUGGAAACGGCGUCUAAUACUGGAUAUGAGCUCUUACCGCAUGGUGGGGGUUGGAAAGAUUUUUCGGUCUGGGAUGGGCUCGCGGCCUAUCAGCUUGUUGGUGAGGUAAUGGCUCACCAAGGCGUCGACGGGUAGCCGGCCUGAGAGGGUGACCGGCCACACUGGGACUGAGACACGGCCCAGACUCCUACGGGAGGCAGCAGUGGGGAAUAUUGCACAAUGGGCGGAAGCCUGAUGCAGCAACGCCGCGUGAGGGAUGACGGCCUUCGGGUUGUAAACCUCUUUUAGCAGGGAAGAAGCGUGAGUGACGGUA
rnacentral:rRNA from 1 species